rnacentral:misc_RNA from 1 species
GAUGAAGAACGCAGUGAAAUGCGAUAAGUACUGUGAAUUGCAGAAUUCAGUGAAUCAUCGAAUCUUUGAACGCACCUUGCACCCUUUGGCAUUCCGAAGGGUAUGCUCGUUUGAGUGUCAUUGUACUCUCACUCUCCCGAUGCUUUUGGAUCGGGAGUGGUGGACUUGGGUGUUGCUGCUUUGCUGUGGCUCGCCUCAAAUGGAGUAGUGCAACUCUUGGUUGGACAUAGUACGGCGUGAUAAGUGUCUUCGCCGGCGCCUCAUUAUAGAGGGUGGCCGAUCGGGAGCUCUGUGCUUCAAACCGUCUUCGGACAACAUCUGACAACUUGACCUCAAAUCGAGUAGGACUACCCGCUGAACUCAAGCAUAUCAAUAAGCGGAGGA